GACGAACGCUGGCGGCGUGCUUAACACAUGCCAGUCGAACGGAAAGGCCCUGCUUUUGUGGGGUGCUCGAGUGGCGAACGGGUGAGUAACACGUGAGUAACCUGCCCUUGACUUUGGGAUAACUUCAGGAAACUGGGGCUAAUACCGGAUAGGAGCUCCUGCUGCAUGGUGGGGGUUGGAAAGUUUCGGCGGUUGGGGAUGGACUCGCGGCUUAUCAGCUUGUUGGUGGGGUAGUGGCUUACCAAGGCUUUGACGGGUAGCCGGCCUGGGAGGGUGACCGGCCACAUUGGGACUGAGAUACGGCCCAGACUCCAACGGGAGGCAGCAGUGGGGAAUAUUGCACAAUGGGCGGAAGCCUGAUGCGGCAACGCCGCGUGCGGGAUGACGGCCUUCGGGUUGUAAACCGCUUUCGCCUGUGACGAAGCGUGAGUGACGGUAAUGGGUAAAGAAGCACCGGCUAACUACGUG
rnacentral:rRNA from 1 species